UAUAGGACAUCAGCCAGAGGGUUAGGGUUAUUAUAAGACAUCAGCCAGAGGGUUAGGGUUAUUAUAGGACAUCAGCCAGAGGGUUAGGGUUAUUAUAGGACAUCAGCCAGAGGGUUAGGGUUAUUAUAGGACAUCAGCCAGAGGGUUAUGGUUAUUAUAGGACAUCUCAGGACUAUAUAAUGAGACACUAUUUUUGUUACUCUUUCUCGUGGUCAGCAAAAGUGUGUUGCUGGUUUUCCCUCUGAAGACACACACCAGUGCUUAUGGGAAGGAGUGCUGUGGUGCUGGUGGCCAAAGGCAGACCUGUGUGUUGACUGACUGGGAAUAUGCUCUGCUCCUGUGUCAUAAUAUUGCUAUGAGAAUCAGCACGGCUAGGAAUCCAAAAAUAACAUUGAAUCUCCUCCUUUGAUUUGGAAAUCAAACAUGAAUCCUGUAAUCUGUAUAUUAAUUGAUGAAAAUUAGGUAAACAUAAACCCUUGUACAACACAUACUACUCAAUAACAUUGUGUUCACUCCUCAUAGAUCAUUCAUGAAUGCUUUCACUGCAGGAACUUUGCUUUCAGUGAUGCAUGCACCACAUGCUACAUGCAAUUGUCUUCAUAAACUGGAUAUUAGCAAUCAUUUCCUGUGUUUUUAAAAGGUUAAUGGCGUUUCCAUGGUAAUUAAUGGGCGUCCUGCACUUCCGACCUGUACUUUUUUUGCCUGUUAUUACCCGUCUACCGGUUAUAUAGACUUCUAACUGUUCAGUUCUACAGGUUAUAUAGACUACUAACUGUUCAGUUCUACAGGUUAUAUAGACUUCUAACUGUUCAGUUCUACAGGUUAUAUAGACUUCUAACUGUUCAGUUCUACAGGUUAUAUAGACUUCUAACUGUUCAGUUCUACAGGUUAUAUAGACUUCUAACUGUUCAGUUCUACAGGUUAUAUAGACUUCUAACUGUUCAGUUCUACAGGUUAUAUAGACUUCUAACUGUUCAGUUCUACAGGUUAUAUAGACUUCUAACUGUUCAGUUCUACAGGUUAUAUAGACUUCUAACUGUUCAGUUCUACAGGUUAUAUAGACGACUAACUGUUCAGUUCUACAGGUUAUAUAGACUUCUAACUGUUCAGUUCUACAGGUUAUAUAGACUUCUAACUGUUCAGUUCUACAGGUUAUAUAGACUUCUAACUGUUCAGUUCUACAGGUUAUAUAGACUACUAACUGUUCAGUUCUACAGGUUAUAUAGACGACUAACUGUUCAGUUCUACAGGUUAUAUAGACUACUAACUGUUCAGUUCUACAGGUUAUAUAGACUACUAACUGUUCAGUUCUACAGGUUAUAUAGACUACUAACUGUUCAGUUCUACAGGUUAUAUAGACGACUAACUGUUCAGUUCUACAGGUUAUAUAGACGACUAACUGUUCAGUUCUACAGGUUAUAUAGACUUCUAACUGUUCAGUUCUACAGGUUAUAUAGACUUCUAACUGUUCAGUUCUACAGGUUAUAUAGACUACUAACUGUUCAGUUCUACAGGUUAUAUAGACUUCUAACUGUUCAGUUCUACAGGUUAUAUAGACCUCUAACUGUUCUGUUAGGUUUCCUGAUGACUCAAAGCUGUGUUUUUAAUGUUCGUUGGUUUGUUUGACCAUGGGACCAAUUCAAAUAAAUGUUUGCAUGUUUGAUGACCUGUAUCUAGCACCCCUCCCUCAUCCAAUCAUCCUACUACAGCUUUAAAAUGGGGGUCUUUACAAAGAUGUCACUAAGGUUAAAAAGCAAGAAGAAGAAGCUAAGUGUGAUGGACGUGUUUUGUAUAUGUCACAAAUUAGUACCUGUUUGGAUGUGGAGAUCACUGGUGUUGAAAAAACUGUUUAAUAUAUGCAAUUAAUAAAGUCCUAUUAUGAAAUCUAAAGCAGA